rnacentral:rRNA from 1 species
GAUGAACGCUAGCUAUAGGCUUAACACAUGCAAGUCGAGGGGAAACGGCAUUAUGUGCUUGCACAUUCUGGACGUCGACCGGCGCACGGGUGAGUAUCGCGUAUCCAACCUUCCCUCCACUCGGGGAUACCCCGUUGAAAGACGGCCUAAUACCCGAUGUUGUCCACAGAUGGCAUCUGACGUGGACCAAAGAUUCAUCGGUGGAGGAUGGGGAUGCGUCUGAUUAGCUUGUUGGUGCGGGUAACGGCCCACCAAGGCGACGAUCAGUAGGGGUUCUGAGAGGAAGGUCCCCCACAUUGGAACUGAGACACGGUCCAAACUCCUACGGGAGGCAGCAGUGAGGAAUAUUGGUCAAUGGACGCAAGUCUGAACCAGCCAAGUAGCGUGCAGGAUGACGGCCCUAUGGGUUGUAAACUGCUUUUAUGUGGGAAUAAAGUGGCGCACGUGUGCGCCAUUGCAUGUACCUCAUGAAUAAGGACCGGCUAAUUCCGUGCCAGCAGCCGCGGUAAUACGGAAGGUCCGGGCGUUAUCCGGAUUUAUUGGGUUUAAAGGGAGUGUAGGCGGUCUGUUAAGCGUGUUGUGAAAUUUAGGUGCUCAACAUUUAACUUGCAGCGCGAACUGUCAGACUUGAGUACACGCAGCGCAGGCGGAAUUCAUGGUGUAGCGGUGAAAUGCUUAGAUAUCAUGAGGAACUCCGAUCGCGAAGGCAGCCUGCGGGAGUGUUACUGACGCUUAAGCUCGAAGGUGCGGGUAUCGAACAGG